AACCAGUGCAGACUGGCGUGCCCCCAGGGAUCUCUGGGCGAGUAUCUCUUUGAGCGCCUCACUCUCAAACAUGACUAGGAGG
rnacentral:pre_miRNA from 1 species